AACCAAGCUAACAUCUACAGCCUUGUGUCGUCUCCACCUUCUCAUCUCCUUCAUCAGAAUGACUUGUCUCCUAGCAACACCAGUGCAACAAAGGCAUCAACCAAGAAUAAGUAAUGCUUCAUCUUGCUGUAUUUUUGGUUUUAUUUCAACAUAUUUGUCUCUGCCAUUCAGGUCUGCAAUAGCUCGAAAACAAAGAUUCAGAAGUGUUCUUCCUGCAGAAUAAAUUAUACUUGAUUCUCUCCAUACAAUGCACCAGAUAAAAGAGACCUUGAUGUUAAACACCUAUGGCUAAGUAAGCAGAUGCAGAAAAGGACAGGGUAUCUGCAUCUUAAAUGGCCAUGCUGAAGACCAAUUUUAGCUGGUGUAUCUUUCAUCUUCUCCCUGUAACCACAAGAGUAAAUUGAAAUUGGAAUGGAAUGAACAAAAAAAGUAAAUCACCAUCCACUAUGAAGUAUUCAUAUGUGAGAUUGACUGCAUGCCUACAGGGACUUCUGACUGCAUUCUUUUGUUUUAUGCAUUAGUCCUGCUAAGUACAGUGGGUUACCUUCAAGUUUUGUUCCAUGAAAUAAUACAAUUAACUUAAUAAUGAACCAAAUAUUCAGUCACCAAUAUAUGGUCAGAGAUUAAAGGUAGACUGAUGUUGGGUGCUGAUCUUCAAUCACUUCCCUUCUAUAUUACAUACAAAGAGCACACAUCAGAUUUAUAAAAGCGCUAUUAAACCCAAGGGUAAUUAGUCAGAUUUAUCUUAUGUGCCUUAUGUGUGCACAUGUGCCUUACAAUUCUUUGGAACACAGAAGGCCAACAAGGGACAACUUAAUUUUUCAUUCAAGUUUCAUAUCUUGCCUAUGGCACAGUGGAAAACCAAGCAAUUUGAGCUGAUCUCCUGUUAAAAACAGCAACUCAGUCUUUCUAUAUUUCCAACCCAUUCUUCAGUGUAACCACUAAGGCACGCUGUUCUGUUCUUCUGACAAAGCAUGUCCCUAUGGUUCAUUUCACACACACAUAGAAGUAGGUUCAUAGCACAAAAUGUUUGCUAGUUCGACUGAAAGCGGGGGAAGGGAAACACCAGAAGCUGAAUACUCAACAGAUUUGGAUGACAAAAGGGCACAUGACAGAUAUGGGACUAUUCAACUAAAUAGAGUCCCAUCCUUUCCAGAAUCAGCUAGCAGCAGCCUAAUCAUUUUUAAAGGGCUUUGUUCUAACAAUGAUUCUAGCUUUA